rnacentral:rRNA from 1 species
CUAGUAAUCGUAGGUCAGCAUACUACGGUGAAUACGUUCCCGGGCCUUGUACACACCGCCCGUCAAACCAUGAGAGUUGGCAACACCCGAAGUCGGUAGUCUAACCGCAAGGAGGACGCCGCCGAAGGGUGGGGGUUGAUGAUUAGGGUUAAGUCGUAACAAGGUAAC